AAAUGUUUCAAAAAUAUCAACAUUUUUUAAAGCAGUUGGAAUUAUAUGAUUACUAUACAUAAUGAAAUUAAGAAAAGCAAAUGUAUACAAACUACAAAAGAUUUUGAUGUUGAGAGUAACAUUCUAUAGUACAGAUAGUCCUCAAUUUAUAAUGGGUUCAAACCAGCGACGUAACCAGCUUUUUUUUUUGGAUGGGCCAAGGGUGGGCCACACUGAUGUAGAUUUUAAGUUCCAUAUAACCCAAGACGCUUUGAGUUCCAUAAAAAUUACAAUGUAAAACCAAAAGUAUUUCCAUCAUAAUUCAAAACUCUUUGAGUUCCAUGAUGAUAAAACCAGAUAAUAAACUGCUUUGAGUUCCAUGAUAACUAUUUUUAGAAUUUAGAUAUACAAGCAGUUGUGCAUGUGUUGUUAAAACACAAGAC
rnacentral:lncRNA from 1 species